rnacentral:rRNA from 1 species
UACAGAGGUCUCAAGCGUUGUUCGGAUUCAUUGGGCGUAAAGGGUGCGUAGGCGGCGCGGUAAGUCGGGUGUGAAAUCUGGGCUUAACUCCGAAACUGCAUUCGAUACUGCCGUGCUUGAGGACUGGAGAGGAGACUGGAAUUUACGGUGUAGCGGUGUAAUGCGUAGAUAUCGUAAGGAAGACCAGUGGCGAAGGCGGGUCUCUGGACAGUUCCUGAC